rnacentral:rRNA from 1 species
UACGGAGGGUGCGAGCGUUGUCCGGAAUCACUGGGCGUAAAGCGCACGUAGGCGGAUUGCUAAGUCAGGGGUGAAAUCCUGGAGCUCAACUCCAGAACUGCCUUUGAUACUGGCAACCUUGAGUCCGGGAGAGGUGAGUGGAACUGCGAGUGUAGAGGUGAAAUUCGUAGAUAUUCGCAAGAACACCAGUGGCGAAGGCGGCUCACUGGCCCGGUACUGACGCUGAGGUGCGAAAGCGUGGGGAGCAAACAGG